GUUUGCUAAAAGCACUUGAGUAACUUCAAGAUCCCUGGAAUAGCUCAGCCGGUAGAGCGUGAGGCUCUUAAUCUCAGGGUUGUGGGUUUGAACCCCACGUUGGGCAAAAGAUUCCUGCAUUGGAAGAGGUUGGACUAGAUGAUCCUUGUGGUCCCUUCCAACAGUACAUGAUUCCAUGACCCAUCAGGGAGACACCAGUUUACCCAGUGAGGUUUUUUCUACCCACCCAACUAUUUUGUCUGUUUCCAGAGGCUAGGCAUCUGGCUUUUGACCGCAACCAUUCCUGCCAUAAUAACUAUUGUCGUCUUUAGGGCGGCACAGGACUCUCCAGCUUUCCCUUCACAAAGGUCCUUGUGUAAUCUGGAGAAAUGUCUGCCUGGCUAUGAAAUGAAUAAAUUAAGGUCUUAUGUAUAUAAUAAAGGUUCAUAAAUGUAGCAAGCAAACACGUCCAUAGAUAUAUAGGCCACAUGUCUGAGGCUGCACAGGAGAGCAGCCAUGGAGCCAUUUUGACUCCCAGGCUGACCAGGUGUUUUCUCUGCAAGGUCAAAUGGAGGAGCCUCCCCAUUGUCUUUUCCUUCACAAGGGUAUUCUUAAGGGUAUGUCUGUGUAUGAAUAGGUGAGCCUGUGGCUUGGCUCAGGAACAAAGUAUUUAUCAUUACAAAAGACUGGCCAGGCUCCCCAGGGUAUCCAAUCAAGUAAGCAUUAACAGGUAACCUGCCAGACAGGAGGUAAACAACACACUCAGAUUUCUGUUGUAGACCGACCUUUCUGUGAUGUAGGUAUGAUGUAUCUGGGGUGGUGGUCUUGAGCUACACCCCUUCUGUGAUGUAGGUAUGAUGUUUCUGGGGGUGGUCUUUGACUCCAAGGUGGGCAAUUUAAAAUGUCUAUAUAAGGAUGGGCACACCUUGGUUCUGGGUCCUCCUCCUUCUGCGUGUGAGGGGAGGACCCUGUUGCAACAGUUCAAUAAAGAUCAGGCUUACGAGCUGCUUUGCUUCUCAAUAUUCUCUGGUUGGCCUCUGUUUUUCCUCCGACCGAUGGAGAACCUACAAAGGACUCUAUAAGGGCUCUUGUGUCCCCCCAGAAAGGAAUAAGGGCAGAUUUUUCGUUUAUUACAGCUAUGUGGCUUUCCCCGAGCUGAGCGUUGGAGAUGUGGCAAGGACAAUGCCUCUCUUAAGCAUAUGUUUGUACAGCGCCCCAUGCCUUGACCCCCAAUCUUGCCCCCCCUCUACAGACCAGAAGUGGGCUUAUCUGGGAGAGAAGCUGCAAGGGGGAGGUGUUUCAAAGGCCCCUCUAGAUUCCUCCAUUGCUCCUCCAUCCCUUGUGGGACACAAGCCCUACAACCUCCGCCCGCUGAAGGAGGACGCAGCCACCGUGGUCUGGCCUGGGCAAAGUCCCAGGGUCCAGCAACAGAGGCCUGUGGGGGCUGCCUUCCCUGCUGCCUUCUUUCCUCACGGCCCAGAGCUCCUGCCUAGCGGCAUAACGGAGGUGAAAGAGGGUCAUAGAAUAACAGAAGUGUAGAGUUGGAAGGGACCCUGGGGGUCAUCAAGUCCAACCCCCCUUGGAAUGCCGGAAUAUGCAACUGGCGACCUCCUCCCCCUUGAGCUCAGGACCAACAGCAUCUGAAUCCCUCCACUGUUGACUUUGGGGAAGAAGCCUCCGCCUGCUUGCUCUGAGGUGGCUCUGGGGAAAUCCCCCUUCCAGCUCCUCCACCGUCUGAUGGAAUCCCUUUCCUCCUAAGGAGCACCUUUGGGGCCAAGAAGGAUUAGUGAGGUGUCUGUGGCUUCUGUGUCAUCAUCACUCUUGACAAAGGCCCUGAUUCACUGAGCAAAGCCCAGCAGAGCGGAGGGCGGAGCCCUUGGCCCCUCGGGGCUCUGGAGGAGUGAGUUUCCCUUCUGCCCCGCUUUGCAGUGAUCUGGGCUGUGGUUUAGAGGAGGCACCUUGAACCCUGCAGGGCCCACUUUUCCAGAACUGGGUUUGGCAGAGCAAGGUCUCUCAGCUCUCUAGGAGAGCUAUCAUUUCUCAACUCAUUUCUAUGCUCUUUGGAGAGAUUUCCUUUCUUACGUACCAAAUUCAGAUAUGCAAAACUCCCAGCAAAUCACGAAACUGGGCUUCCAUUAUGCGUUUUGCUGCUUUUAUUUUUCUGCAAUUUGUGCCUUCUAUUUACUUUUAAAAGAAAAUAAAGCUUCACAGAUUUGGGGUCGAUGAUUAUCCACAAAACUCAAGGCGAGGCAAGGCAAGGCAAGGCUUGGCAGCUGGAGCAGAGGCAGGAGAGGGCUGGUUUGGUUGCUGGCAGUGGCCCCCAGCUUAGCAGGAAUUUCUUGGGUCCCUCUACAACUAACCCUCAAUUAACAUCUUGAACUCUGUAGGGGAAGAUGGAAGAAGGGUCAGUCUGUAAGCAGGAUUGGGCCAGGGAGCCCUGACACCCCACGGUUCCCCUUUUCUUCUUGCCCCCUGUUUUCAUUUAAAGUAAACAACUCCUUUUCCCAGGGAGGAAAUUUCAGUUUGAAAUGUUAGUUUUGCUUUCUAGAGAGCACUUUCAUCAAAAAGAGAUGAAAAUUAACCCACUAAUUCCUAACACAUAGAACUCCCUUGUCCGUUUAAAUCUUUCUUAUCACAAACCAUAAACCAAGCUUUUUGUUCCAAAUCCCGCCCUUUAAACAUCAACUUUCCUUCUUUUCUCCUUAAAACCAGAAAGCAGCUGACUAUCCAAAUGUGGAUUUUUGCUGACAGGUGCAGAAACCCUUUUGGAUUGUAAACUAUUCUUCCCACAGACUAGAGGCUAGCUGUCAUCAAAUGCCACUUGCUAUUUCAUUUGGCAGACAGCCGACGAAAGAGGACCAGCCUGCCAUCUUCCCUUCCCCGGAAGUCAGGAGGCUGCAAGUCUCGUGGUCCCUGCUGAGUGGCACAGGGAGCCUGUGGGGCUAGAGGGGCUUGAGGGGCUGGCAGAAGGGGCACAGAGCUGUCCUGACAUCCCCCCUCCAGCUCCCAAGAAGGUCAGGCGGGGCUGAGCCGCUCACCAUCAAAGUCAAUCAAACCAUCAAGGUCUAGGUCACCAUCCGCCAUGAGCUCUGCAAUCUCUUCUUCAGUGAUAGUCCCAGAGAAUGCUUGGAUGAAUGUGACCUGCUCCUCAGCAUCCAGGACACCAUCAAGAUUCCUGCCAUUGUUUGGGGGGAGGAAAGUGAUGAGCUGGGAACCCCUGAGAUCUUCCAGACCUAAACCUUUCACUGCAGCCUGAUCAGAGCUAGGUCACCCACUGGGAGCAGCUGUGCAGACGUGGUUUCCGUGACUAGGUGCUGGCUCCCUCUGCAUGGGGAGUGACUGUGGCUUCCCUGAUCUCCGAAGGCCCCCCCUUGCCUACACCUGCUCCUCCUAGGAUUGCGCCUUCCCAGAAUUGGGAAUGGUUUUUAAAAAGGUCUCUUUGGCUCUGUCUGAACAAGCAGACUCUGCGUGGGGAACAAGGAGAAAUGCUCUUGGGUUCUCUGAAGAGGAACUACUAGGGUCGCCAUAUUUGUUGAUUUCUUUUCUCUCUCU